rnacentral:rRNA from 1 species
GACGAACUCUGGCGGCGUGCUUAACACAUGCCAGUCGAACGGAAAGGCCCUGCUUGCCGGGUACUCGAGUGGCGAACGGGUGAGUAACACGUGGGUGAUCUGCCCUGCACUUCGGGAUAAGCUUGGGAAACUGGGUCUAAUACCGGAUAGGAGCCAUCUUUAGUGUGGUGGUUGGAAAGUUUUUUCGGUGUAGGAUGAGCUCGCGGCCUAUCAGCUUGUUGGUGGGGUAAUGGCCUACCAAGGCGGCGACGGGUAGCCGGCCUGAGAGGGUGUACGGCCACAUUGGGACUGAGAUACGGCCCAGACUCCUACGGGAGGCAGCAGUGGGGAAUAUUGCACAAUGGGCGCAAGCCUGAUGCAGCGACGCCGCGUGGGGGAUGAAGGCCUUCGGGUUGUAAACUCCUUUCGCUAGGGACGAAGCUUUGUUGUGACGGUACCUAGAUAAGAAGCACCGGCUAACUACGUG